GCAUGGGUCCUCAAACUCCGGCCCCCCAGAUGUUGCUGAACUACAACUCCCACUCUCUGGCUCUCUAUGAAAUUCAAAGAAUCAUGGGAGUUGUAGUUCAGCAACAUUUGGGGGGAUGGAGUUUGAGGACCCAUGC